GUGGGCUAAUCAGGAACUCUGAAAGCAGGUUGGAUUCAAGGAUCAGGCUGUGGUAUGACUGUGUCUUAGUUGCUAGCCUAUUGGAUUUCCAGACAUUGAAUAGGCUGACCUCCCUCUGAGAUUUUAAGGAAGUGUUAUUUCCAGAGACUCAGCAAGCCCUGCAAACAGGCUUGUGAUUGAUUGCUCAACCCCUGAGGCUGUCCCCAGGCCCCGUCAAAACCUCUACCAGAAGUUCUCCAGCAGCUCUUCCUGAACUUUAUGGGUAAGUUCAAGGCAAAGGUUCCAGGAAGUCAUAUUUUAGCCCGCCUCUGGCCCAAGCCCCAGUGCAGCAUGAUCAGUAGUGAGCCGAACACUGCAUUUUCAUCUCCAUCUGGCUUGUGUGUCGAACACACAAUUGAUUCUGAAUCUGGAAAGGAAGAACGACUAAUGGAAACGCACUGAAGGACUGCAUGCAGGACUGUAACUGCAUUUUACAAAGAUCACCUGGCCAGCAGAAUGGAGAACAGAUUUAAAGGGAAGAACUGAAGCAAAAAGCAUUAGGAGUUAUGGCAACAAUUGAGGUACAAUACAAAGGAGACUCAACCUAGCACAUGGAAUACAGAGGAAAUGCAUGAAAAGAUUUUAAGCAGAAGAAAUUAAUAGGAUGGAGUGGCAAAGGAUCAACUGGUGAGGGAUGCUGAGGGAAUGUAAAAAGGAACAGCUAGGCUUCUGCCUUCAGCUGCUGGGUGGAAAGCAGUGUGUGCACUGUAGGAGAACACGGCAGAGUGAGAAGGACAAUCAGGCCAGGCUGAGACGAAAGAGCCAGGGGAGCCCUAGGGAACCACACCACCCACGACAGAGUAGGUGCCUGCCGUAGCUUCACAGCAGACCCGGUCGGGAAGGCAGGCUCUGGGCCACGGAUGCCAAGCACAGAGUUGGACUUUAAUUCAGCGAGCUGGGGAGAGGCUUGAAAGCAGGAGAAAAACAAGAUUGAAGCAGUUCUCCUCUAAAACUAACCUAAUCAACAAAGAGACAAAGAUUCCAAAAGGUGAAGCGGUAUGAAGACACCUAGUUAGUGUCAGAGACAAAUUAAAAGGCAAGUCUUUGGACUCCUGGUCCAGUCUGUGCAAAGACAAGGAACCCUGCCUGCUUCUCAGAAUUCUAUGUCCUCCUCUAGAAUAGCAUUGAAGCAUGUAUAUUACCAUAUGUGAAAUAGAUGACCAGCCCAAGCUCAGUGCAUGAAACAGGGCACUCAAAGCCAGUGCACUGGGACAACCAGAGGAAUGAAAUGGGGAGGGAGGUGGGAGAGGGGUUCGGGGCAGGGGGGACACAUGUACACCCGUGGCUGAUUCAUGUCAAUGUAUGGUAAAAACCACCACAAUAUUGUAAAGUAAUUAGCCUCCAAUUAUAAUUAAUAAAUAUGUUUUUAAAUAUAUAAGAAAUACCAAGUAAGAAAAAAAAGAAGUCCUUCUCCCUUAAUCUAUCCCAGCCAUGAUAUUUAGCUUGGACUAGAACAUUUGGCACAUUAAGAAAAUGAAUGGCUACUUCCACUAUUUUUUGGUAACAACCAAAGAGCCCAGUCCAGUGUUCUAAUAAAAAAAAAAAGCUUAAAAAUACUGGUGAUUAUAAAUGCAGAUAGUGGCAAUGCUCUUUAAGACUCUUUCAAAGUCUAGUGGGAAUAAAAAGGGUAGAAAGACACUUUAAAAAACACUUUAAAGAUAAUAAAAUGGCUUCCAAACACACAUUAGUAUAGUUGCUGUCGUUCAACCAUCAAGUUGUGUCCAGCUCUCUGCAGCCUCAUAGACAGCAGCACGCCAGGCUUCCCUGUCCUUCACCAUCUCCUGGAGUUUGCUCCAACUUAUGUCCAUUGAGUCAGGGAUGCCAUCCAACCCUCUCAUCCUCUGCUGCCCCUUCUCCUUUUACCUUCAAUCUUUCCCAGCAUCAGGGUCUUUUCCAAUGAGUCAGCUCUUCACAUCAAGUGGCCAUAGUUCCCAAUUGCAGCAAAACUGUUUGGGAAGAAGAAGUUCCUAUUACCCAGGAAAUAAAGAUUGAGGAGGAGGGCAGAAUGAGAGUCAUGUUGGGAGUUUAAGCUUCAACAUUUGAAUUGGUAGAAGGAGAAGACACAAUUCAGUACAUUAAGACAUCCUGACAUGGGACUUUCCAGGAGGGAGACAUCAAUUCCAAGAUGCUUCCGCAGGGACUCUCCAUCACAAGCGUGAGAGCUGCUUAACCUGAGUCAAGAGAAGGAUGGUAAACUAAAUACAGGACCUGAAAUAGUGCUUCUUCACAACCAAAGUAUGACCUCUUCCCUGAAGAAACCACGUGUUAGCAGCACAUGUUCCUCCUACCACCAGCCCACCCUACUGCCAGCCUGGUGAUAGUUGGGGGUGGAGGGAAUAACAGCAUGAAUGCCUUAGGACUGGGCUUGAAUCUUCUGUUUUGGGGGUUUGGUGGGACUUGUUUGUUGGUAUUUAUACAGUGUUAUACAGAUAACAUUCUAUUAAUUACUUAAGUUCAAUUCCCCUGGAAAUGGAAAUGAUAUCAGAAACCCAUACCUGGAGAGAAAGAAUAAUUAUUUUGUUUGGCUUUGGUAACAUCCAUGAAAGAAUCUCCUUCUUUCUCAAAGCAGUAUAUCUCAGAGGAGGCAGCCUAUGUUUCUGUGUUCAAUUAAUAUCCAGUAGAUUACUGUGAAACUCUUGGUUCUGCUGUUUAAUUUUAAAAUUCCCCUUCAAUUUUCCUCCUUCAAUUGAACUGAUGUUCAGGUAAAGCUAUGAAACAAUCCAAAGACAAAUAAAAGGAAAGACAAACAGCAGUAAGUACCAUUUGGUGGUAUCUUUCCCAUGUCAGAUCUCUGCCAAGUGCUUUACCUGCAUUGUCUUAUUUCAUCUUUCCCACCAUCCUAUGAGAUUGGCAUUAUAAUCCCCAUUCUAUAAACAGGGAAACUGACAGGGUGGGUUGUUUCCAAAAGUCCCAUUCUAGCGAGUGAUAGAGCUAGGAUUCAAGGCCUAGCUCCAAGAGGAGCCUGGUGUGCUGCAGUCUAUGGAUUCAUGGCCUUAACCACCAUGCAAAUUUUAAUAUGGAAUGUGGAAAAAGUGAAAGGGAAGAAGGGCUACAGAAGAGAACUGAAAGAUGAUACUGGGUGUCAAAAUGACUGAUCAUUCUGAAGCAAGAAGGUAAUUGAGGAAGUACUAGGAUUAAAAACUUUAAGACUAAUGAGAGAUACAGAACUGAUGAGCAAUACCCGGAUAGUUAAUGUUUAGCCUCAUCUAUAAACACUCUGAACUGCUAAAAUGCAAAUUGAAACCACAGUGAGAUACCACCUCACACCUGUCAAAAUGGCUAUUAUCAAAAAUACCACAAAAAACAAGUGUUGCCAAGGAUGUAGAGAAAAGGAAAGCCUGUUAGUGGGAAUGUAAAUUGGUACAGUUACUAAGGAAAAUGGUUUCCUUAGUAUGGAGUUUACUCAAAAAAUUAAAAAUAGAACUACCAUACAACUUAGCAGUUUCACUCCUGAGUAUUCAUCCAAAGAAAGAGAAAAUAGUAACUUGAAAAGAUAUAAACACCCCUAUGUUUAUUGCAACAUUAUUUACAAUAGCAAGACAUGGAAAUAAUCCAGGUAUCAACUGAGGGAUAAAUGAAUAAGGAAAAUAUGGCAUAUCCAUAUGGUGGAAUAUUAUUCGGCCAUAAAAAGGAGUGAAAUCUUGCCAUUUGCAACAACAUGGAUUGAUACUAACAGUAUUAUGCUAAGUGAAAUAUGCCAAACAGAGAAAGACAAAUACUGUAUCAACUCACUAAUAUGUGGAAUCUAACAAACCUGAACUCAUAGAAACAGAGAGCACACUGGUGCCUGCCAGAAGCAAUCUAGGGUGGGAGAAGUGGGUGAAGAAAGUCAAAAGGUACAAACUUAAAGUUACAAAACAAUUAAGUCAUGGGUAUAUAUAAUGUGCGUAUGGUAAUUGUAGUUAAUAAUUGUAUAUUUUAAAGUUGCUAAGAAAAUAGAUCUUAAAAGCUCUCAUAAAAAGAAAAAAAAUGUAAUUAUGUGAGAUGAGGAUGCGACAGAGAAUGAGACGGUUAGAUAGCAUCACCAACUCAAUGGACUUGAAUCUAAGCAAACUCGGGGAAUAGUAGAGGAUGGAGGAGCCUGGUGUGCUGCAAUCUAUAGAAUUGCAAAGAGUUGGACACAACUUAGCAACUAAACAACAGCAACGUAAGGUGACAUGCUAACCAGACUUAUUGUGGAGAUCAUUAUACAUGUGGCAAUGCAUACAAAUAUUGAAUCUUUGUAAAACUAAUAUAUGAAUUACAUCUCAAUAAAAAA
ensembl:lncRNA